UGGCCCCCCAGCUAUUUCUCUUCAAUGAUCUUGACACUAUAAACUUCCACCGUUAAAUCAUUCCUUUUUUAUACUCGACGAUGCCAAUUACUUUCUCAACAACCUUCCCUUUCCUCCUGUUGGUUCUACUCGCAACUUCAAUUUAAAGGAGUUAGAUUUGAUGGGUCAAUGGUGGAUAUCAGUGAACUGGGAAGAUGGAGAACAUGAGGUGAUUGUGGAGAUGAGCAUUACACAUACCUUACCUACGACAUUGACGCUUGAGUACGAGUAUGAGAAGUGAAGGAUUAGAUUUGAUGGGACAAUGGUGGAUAUGGGGGUGAAGUGGGGAACAUGGAGAAUGGUGAGAUGGUUGUGGAGACAAGGAUUACGGAUACCUUGCCUGCAGCACUGACGUUUUGGUGCGGGCUUGAGAGCAUCAAGGAAGCUUUGGAGGAGUUGAAGCUCAAUCCUCCAUCUUCUUCUCAUUGAAUUAUAAGAUUUCAGGUUUUGGAAGACAUGCGAGGUUUAUUGCAAGCAGCAGAUGAAAGGAAGCAAGCUGCAGUUGCUGAGCUAUCUGCUAAACAUCAAAA